CAAUAGCGUAUAUUUAAGUUGUUGCAGUUAAAAAGCUCGUAGUCGGAUUUUGGCUGAGAACGAACGGUCCGCCGUUAGGUGUGCACUGUUUGGUCUCAGCUUCCUGGUGAGGAGGUGUGCUUCACGGCCACUUAGUCACCGUGGUUACUUUGAAAAAAUUAGAGUGUUCAAAGCGGGCUUACGCUUGAAUAUAUUAGCAUGGAAUAACACCAUAGGACUCCUGUCCUAUUUCGUUGGUCUCGGGACGGGAGUAAUGAUUAAGAGGAACAGUUGGGGGCAUUCGUAUUUCAUUGUCAGAGGUGAAAUUCUUGGAUUUACGGAAGACGAACUACUGCGAAAGCAUUUACCAAGGAUGUUUUCAUUAA
rnacentral:rRNA from 1 species